rnacentral:SRP_RNA from 10 species
GUCAGAUGCAGUGGCCCACACUUGUAGUCUUAGCUACUCAGGAGAUAGAGGUGAGAGGAUUACUUGAGCCCAAAAGUUCUGGGCUGUAGUGCGCUAUGCCCAUGGGUGUCCAUGCUAAGUUCAGUGUCAGUAUGAUGACUCUUGGGAGCUGGAGACUGCCAGGCUGCCUAAGGAGGGGUGAACUGGCCCAGGUCAGUAAUAGAGCAGGUCAAAACUCCCGUGCUGCUCAGCAGUGAGAUCAUGCCUGUGAAUAGCCACUGCACUCCAGCCUGGGCAACAUAAUGAGACCCCAUCU